CUACUCCCUCUGCACAUGAUGAAUUUAAUCCUCUUUUUUAUUCUACCUUUUGUAGUUUCUCUGAGGAAUACUUGUCAUGAAAGCAAACAACAGAGGAUCUCUUCUUUGUAAUUACUGUAUCAUUAAAUGCUGGCAGAUUUACUGUAAGUAUUAGUGAGUAAGUGGCACUACUGACAACGCUGGAGAAAUACUGAGAUUUGCAGGAGAAUGUGACAUCACGUUUGAUUUGUAAAUGCCUGUUUUCAAUUGCAACAGCCCUGGUAUCUGUAUCCUAUGAUGUUUCUAUCACUUAAGCCUGCCUGUACUUAAAGAUA